UACGUAGGGUGCAAGCGUUGUCCGGAAUUAUUGGGCGUAAAGAGCUCGUAGGCGGUCUGUUGCGUCGGCUGUGAAAACCCGGGGCUCAACCCCGGGCCUGCAGCCGAUACGAGCAGACUAGAGUUCGGCAGGGGAGACUGGAAUUCCUGGUGUAGCGGUGAAAUGCGCAGAGUAUUAGGGAGGAACACCGGUGGCGAAGGCGCCACUCUGGGCCGAAACUGACGGCUGAGGAGCGAAAGCAUGGGUAGCAAACAGG
rnacentral:rRNA from 1 species